AUUGAACGCUGGCGGAAUGCUUUACACAUGCAAGUCGAACGGCAGCACGGGGCAACCUGGUGGCGAGUGGCGAACGGGUGAGUAAUACAUCGGAACGUGCCCAAUCGUGGGGGAUAACGUAGCGAAAGUUACGCUAAUACCGCAUACGAUCUACGGAUGAAAGCGGGGGAUCGCAAGACCUCGCGCGAAUGGAGCGGCCGAUGUCAGAUUAGGUAGUUGGUGGGGUAAAGGCUCACCAAGCCGACGAUCUGUAGCUGGUCUGAGAGGACGACCAGCCACACUGGGACUGAGACACGGCCCAGACUCCUACGGGAGGCAGCAGUGGGGAAUCUUGCGCAAUGGGCGAAAGCCUGACGCAGCGACGCCGCGUGAGUGAUGAAGGCCUUCGGUUGUAAGCUCUGUGGGGGGAGGACGGAAUAAGUACGUGGCCAACAUCCACGAUGAUGACGGUA
rnacentral:rRNA from 1 species